UAGGGAAUCUUCGGCAAUGGACGAAAGUCUGACCGAGCAACGCCGCGUGAGUGAAGAAGGUUUUCGGAUCGUAAAACUCUGUUGUUAGAGAAGAACAAGGACGUUAGUAACUGAACGUCCCCUGACGGUAUCUAACCAGAAAGCCACGGCUAACUACGUGCCAGCAGCCGCGGUAAUACGUAGGUGGCAAGCGUUGUCCGGAUUUAUUGGGCGUAAAGCGAGCGCAGGCGGUUUCUUAAGUCUGUUGUGAAAGCCCCCGGCUCAACCGGGGAGGGACAUUGGAAGCUGGGAGACUUGAGUGCAGAAAGGGAGAGUGGAAUUCCAUGUGUGGCGGUGAACUCCGUAUAUAUAUGGAAGAACACCAGUGGCGAAGACGGCUCUCUGAUCUGUAACUGACGCUGAGGCUCGAAAGCGAGGGGAGCAAACAGG
rnacentral:rRNA from 1 species